rnacentral:lncRNA from 1 species
GGAAGAGCCAUCACUAAUCUGAAUCACAGCUGCUGUCGGAAGCCUAUAUACAGACAUGAAAGAAGGAAGCAGUUGCUCUUGCCUGCUUGCUCUCACUUCACUGGCAAGUCUGUUACUUCACUAGAAUUAGAGCUUGCUUCUUCAGGAUUCCAGGGUAUUUUGAUGAGCAGCUGAGAUGACUGGUGUCACGGACUGUACAACUACUGGAUGUUUGGACUUCAUGUUCAUAGGCAGUCAUUUUUGGAUUAGCUGGACCACAGUCUAAGCCAUCAAAUGACCUGCAUCCACCAGAAAUAAAUUUUUGUCAACUCAACCCAAGUUGGGGUCUUCUGGGAAGAGGCAACCUCAAUUGAGAAAAUCCUCCCAUACAAUUGGCCUGUAGGAGAAUGGUUGGCCUCCGCUCGUGAGAGCUGAGAACUCUACGCACUGUUCUCACAGCAGCAGUCCAAUUCUCCUCCUAAUACAGCCUGACCGAGUUCCAGGGGACCGCAAGCACUUGCCAGCAACUUCUAAAGUAUAGCCAGAUGUUAUUUCAGCUUGCUGUGAAGAGUUUUCACACCACAGUCCCAAGCUUUAAUUUCCUUCAUUUAAAAAACGGUCACUCAGCCAUCAAUCAGUUGCUAAGGCCCGAAAGAGCACAUCUCUCAUCGCAGAUAACCCUAGGUUCUGGCAUGUGCUUCAUUCAUGGAAUCAACCCACAGGAACGGGAAACAGAGCUCACUCGAUGCGAUCUGAGCGAUAGUGUCCACAUGUGUAAGCCAGUCAACAUCUGAGAAGACACUGGAGAUUAAAGCAGGGUCCCUAUUUCAGCACAGCCUGCAAGAAUAAGUGUCUGCCUAUUAUCUCUCAAGAUUCCUUCUAUCUUUUAGUCUGAUGGCCCGAUAGGCAACCAUCAUAGGGUCAGAGAAAACAGAAGUACACAGAAUAUAGUGGCAGAAAGGGAGUGAAGUCAAAAUCAUGAGUCAAUAAGAAAAAAAAAAAAACUUCUAGAUAAGAAUCAAACAUUAAUAUGUGCCCUAGUCAGUAAGAACUAUUAUGAGUUCUGGAUUACUUACUGUUAAACGCCACUAUUUUAUUAGAAUGAGUUAGAGUCUAAUUUCCCACACACAAAUUCCAGUAUAAUAGCAUUCAAGUUUCUAUUACUGCUUCAGAAACAACAUUUACCUCCCCAUAUCCUUGUCACCUUGGUAUUAAAGAAAGUUCUGUAAACAUCACUGACAAAGUUUCAACUCUUCUAAAGUACAGCUUUAAAACUUCACAAUUACACCAGAAAGAUGUACCCAAUGCUGGGAACUCAUGUACAGUGUUUUAUUGAGUAUUAUUAUCAGUGCAUAAAGUCCACGCCUUGUAUUUAUUAAAACAUGUAAUGAAGGAUUUUAAGCAGCUUACAAUUAACUAAACAAACUUCUGAUUCUGCCCAUUGUAGCUGAGGUAAACUAUUAAGAACCUGAGACUCCUUCAAAGUGAAUCAACUUCAAGCAUGCAGAUGUCCAUCUCCUUGCAAGUACCCCAUUCAUCAAGGAGCAACAAGCAGAGAUUUUUGCAUUUAUUUUAGAAUGGAGACUGUGGCUCCAACAGGCCUCCUUCCAAGCAGUCUUUGUGUUCCUUCAACAUGCCAAAAGAGAUAGGUUGAUCCACCUGUGGUGAUUACAAUUCAUCAGGACGCAAAUGUAUCUUCCAGGAGCUGACCUUCUACAUCUCUAGACCUUGCUGCAGGAGACCAGGAUUUUAUUUCUAUCUAGAAGUCUUCUUCCAUCCAAAGGGAAUUCUGAUUUCUCCCUACAAUCCAUAAGUUGCAGUGUAUCAUUAAUCCUACAUCUUAUUGCCAUUACUAUUUGAAUGCUAUUGUAUAAUAUGAAAUUGCUAUCUACUCCUCUAUCAAUCAGGUUAAAAUUCCAUUCAGCAUCAUUUUCUCUGAAUGCAAGCUGUAAAGGAUGUUAGACUUUUGACUGGUAACACCCAAUGUUUGCACAACGAUACCAUGUUAAAUCAGCACUCUCUUCUACGCUGUACCCUGUGGUAUUUGUUUUAAUCUCCUGAGAAGUUUCUUCCAUGUUUUCAAUGUGUUUGUCAUUUUACAUAACUUAGAUGUCCAAAUUUUCUGUUUUAGGCAGGAGUGUUUCAAGUUUUCCCUCCAGGGAGGUCAUGCAGUUUGUAAUUUCUUGUAUUUGGAAAUAAUUGCCCCCAAAACAAGUCUCACAUAGACCCCAGAGCUUGUGACAGAGUCAUUUUUCCCAGGUUUACUGUUCUGAAAUGGUGUGGAGAAAGCAAUCAUUGGAGCACCUAACAUCUACACUACACCUGUAUCUACUGUGGAGCACAGACCAAUUUCCCAUAAUGAGAGAUAGAUAAGAUACAAAAAAUGUACUCAAUCAUUCAGUUGCCUGUCUAUUGUUAGAAAAUGUUGUCAGAGAAAUGGGGCUCUGAAUUCUCUGACAUAACUUGGUGAUGGGUUAUAAGGUAAGUUUCCAUAUGAUAGCAAAUCAUCUCUUGAGUUCUUGAAAAUAGCUAAUGGCAGAAAUUUGGAGAAUUAGAAAGUCUUCAUGCUUAAGAACACAGUUGCCUAUGUCCUAUAGGAAACACUGAUUUGCUUUCUAUCACUGCUGUUUUACCUCUUCCAAAAUUAGAUGUAAAAGAAAGGAUGUUCUUUGUACUCUUCUGUGCAACUCUCCCAUAGCAUAUUGCAUUUGAGAUUCAUUUGUGCUGUUGAGAGCAUCCUUGAUUCUCUCAUGGUGGUGGUGGUGGUGGUCAUUGUUGAUGCUGUUGCUGAUGAUUAUUCAAUCCAUUAUCUUCUCAGUUGCUCUUUCCCUAUGUCAAGGUGAACCUAAUUCCAAAAGAGCUGAUAUAGAGAAUGUAUUUCCAUUGUGGAAACCGCUCCCUACCCACAAGGACUUGGCUUAAUGUCAUGAACUCUUAUGGAUGAGAUCCUGGCUUGAGAUCCUUCCUGAAUACCAACUAUGUUGACCUCUCCAGGUGGUGUUUCUCUGGCUCCAUGUCAGCUGGCUUCUUACCAAUAAAAGGCAAGGCACUAGAGGGCAGAAGGGCAUAACCCUAGUAUUUCUCUCCCUGUCCUUUGUUUUGUUCAGCACUUUUGAUAAAGGAUACAUUUCCUCUUUGGCUUCAGCCUCCACUAAACAAGCACACUUUGAUUCUAGUUCCAACCACAUACAUGGGCCUAGGUCCUGGAUUAUAAUAACAACAGUUUCGGGCUUUUGUCCUGCUAAGUCUAGUCACUAAACCCUAUCUGCUUCUAACCUCUGGGUCUUCUUUGCCCCUUAUUUGACUUUCAUCUCCAUCUCAAAUACUUAGCUACUUCACUGUAUUAUAAUUCUUCUGGUGUAGCUAUUUGAGUUAUAUCUAUUUUCCUGGUAAGACCUUAAUUUUAUUUUACAAAAUCUAAGUCUUUUGACUUUUUUUCUUGGUAUCUAAUCUGUGGCGGAACAUUUCUCUCAUUUUAUUCUUGUACUAGUACCAACAAAUUAUUACUAUUCACAUCUAUGAAUUAAUAAGCCUAGAUGACUUUAAUGAUCCCACAGAAAGUUACAAUGUUGAAGGUGCAACAAAGGUUGAGUUGCCAAGAGCUUAAAGAUAGAUUGAAGAAGUUGAUAAUCGGUGUGGAAAAAUCUAAGUAGACUUGGUAUAAUUGGCAGAAUGGAAGAGAUUUGUCAUAAUAUUGAGUAAAGGUGCAAAACUUCUAUAAUCUGUCUCAUGUGGUUCUUUCUGAUUUAUUUUCUGAUUAUGAUCAUGACUGGAAAGACUUUUUGUGGAAAUUGUUUCCCAUAUCAGUAACCACAGCAAUGCAUCUGAUUUAUUAAUCUACUCUACUAAAAAUAUCACAUCUAGGAUCAAUAUCUUAUACCAAGGAUCCUGCCUGUCUAAAUCUGUCAUUAUUACUUAUCCUUCCCUAGGUUCCAUGAGAAUGCUGAGGAAGCCAGGUUAUCAAUUUAAACAGAAAUUUAAGAUAAACCACCAUCCAUGAUUUUGUGUCAUUAUAAGUGGUGCUAAGCACUGCCAUUCUUCCCCACAUGAAUCACUGUGAUUGACUUACCCUUUGAGUAGGUGGUGGGGCCCUGUGGUGGGUCAUGAAUGUACAUUCCUGGCCUCUGACUCACAAAUGCUACUCCCUGGCAUCCACUCCUAUAAUAUGCCCUAAUACUCCUAAAGAAUACAAAGUGAAUAGCUUUGGGCCUGGCCAGAGAAUGUAUUCCUCUGAUGAGUUUUCUGGGCUUACAAAAUUUGCCAACUCUACUGUGAGCCCUUACCCAAAAUCUUUUGUGAUAUUUUUUGACAUGCAAAUUUUGAUGAAUCCGUUUUAUUUUAUCAUAGGGCAAAAAUUAUCACACAAUAACCUAUGGACCAAAUUCAAAUUGUUUCAUAUGUCUGCAAUUCUAUCAUUACUGAAAUAUAUAGAUGGCCGUUCUCCUUUGGAUAUUAUUUAUGAUUUUUUCCAUGACCACUAAGAACUGAAUAACUACAACAGAGAUAACAGAGACCUUCUGGCUCACACAACCCAAAAUGUUGGCUUAUUGUCUAUAACAGCCAAAUAGCUCACACUAUUUGAGUAGUCCACUAUUUUCCUGAAACGUGCAGAAUCAUUGUAGUUGAAGAUAAUUUCCAGUCUUCUUUCUACCUUUCUGGAAAUAUUCCAAAUAAAUAAGCUCUCCCACAUCCCUGUGUUUCCCAGUGACUUCAGUGAAGUAUCCAGAAACCAAUACUAUGUACGGUCUUCCAGCUCUUACAGUACAAAUACGGAAGGUCCUACAAAGAUUAGGGAGUGUGAGCCCUUCACCCAUCGGCAGUUCUUGCAAAUCUCUGGCUGUUAUAUUGUAGGAACUGUAGUUUCAAGUAUAACAGAUUUUAAGGUGCAUGCUUGCUGCCUUGAGUGAGAGCAGCCUCUGUUUCAUUUUUAAGCUAAGAGGGGAAAACAGCUUUUAUAGGGAGGUUUUUUUUUUUUUUAAUAUUGAGUAAGAAGGUCAGAGAAGAAUUGUGCAUUUUCAAGGCUUUGAAGACAUCAGUCCAGAUCUCCCCUCACUCAUAUCAGAUCCAGUGAAUUUCCAAUUAGUAUUUUGGCCUUACAGAGCAGAUCUGCUUUACUUAGGAGAUUACCUCUGUAUGCAUUCAUUGCCUCUGACACGUUAUUAUUCCUGGCUCUAACCUUGAACUUGCUCUUCCCCCUCAUGACAAGUAAUGCCCAUCUCUUUACAUGCUUCUGGGAGGGUAGCCUUUAUAUCUCCCAUUUGUUAAAUAACUCUUCUACAUUCUGCUUUACUUCAUCGUUACUUAAGAAACAUCUGCUAUUUCUAAGUACAUAAGAGAAAUACUAUCUGAUGAACUCUCUUUCACUAGCACAUAUCACAUAAGGAGCUACCUGUCUUCCGUUUUCUAAUAGAGACAUGGUCCUUCAAACAAAUGAGACAUAAUAUAUACUGCUUAAACAAAAAGAAGAAAAGAAUAGAAACUAGAACCUGGAAAGAAGAUAUGAGGAACAUCCUAAAUUGGCCUAUUCAUCUAUCUUUGUAAUUAUUAUGAGUCUCAUUUGCAAUUUUACUGAUAGUCAACAGUUUCUUUCCCUUGUCUUUCUUCAUGUCAAGAAGAGAAACUAGUGUUCUUGAGUUUUAUACAAAGGAUGUUAGAAACUGGUUAUAAUUUGGAUCAUCAAUAAUAAUGUCCUUAUAUAAAUACAUAUGUAAAGUUGGAAAUACAAUGCAUCCUAUAAUAUCCUUAAUAUAGAUAGCUUCUGCAUUGCAAAAGGCUUCUGCUAUCCAUAGGAAGAAACUAACUUUGCUACUUUUGAAAAAUGUUUAAAAUUAUAUUGAUGCUCUGUUUACUUUAAAGGGAUGAACAAACGUUAAUAUAACGGUGAUGCAUAGGAGUUUUGUUCUUAUAAGCCAAUUUCUGCUGUGUUGUCAGUCAUCUGUUACAUAACACAAUUGAGGAACAAAAGGUUAGCAAAGGAUACUUGGACAAUGACUGUACUGCCCAACUGCCAUUACUGGGGAAUAGAAAAGACUCAGAACUGUGGUUUUAAUGCGAGUUUUGACUCAAAAUUUUAAGCACAUCUUGUCAUGAUCUAUCAGAGUUUAAAGGAGGAGCAUUUUCACUUGCUCACAUUUGUAAAGAUCUCACAGAAAUACAUAAUAAUAAUAAGUAUAGUAGCUCAACACACAAUAACCAUGCAGCAUAUGAAAUUGAUUGACUUAGCAAAUAGUAACUUUUAAUGUGUUUGUUUGUUUGUUUUAUCUUAAAUGGAAAGAAUUCAACACCUGUGUGAAAUGCUGGUGACAGGGAAAAAAUGGUACAUAUGAGAACAGAAAGAAGAAAUAGGUUCUUUAACAUAGUGUGGGAGGGUGCAGAAAUGGUACAUAUGAGAACAGAAGGAAGAAAUGGGUUCUUCAACAUAGUGGGAGAGAAGACAGAAGUAGGGGUUGCUUAGAACUGUGAUGGGCUGGGGAAGGGCUAUUAGUUACACUAGAAAACAUGCAAAGGCACCUGUGAGAGACGAGUCCCACAAGUAGAGCAUGGAGUGUUAGCAGCUAACGAUGUGGCAGGAGGCAGACAAGAGGGAACAAAUGUGGGCAGGUCAGUCUUCUCAUGUUCCAUAUGCAUAUGUUCUCCAGUAGCAGAAGUGAACAGAAGGCACGUGUACCCACUGUAAUGUCGUAUGUUACUCAUUAAAGCAGCCAUAGAUGGUGUUGUUUUCUCAUAAUGUGUAAUAUUCUCAACAAGCAGGAUUCAUAUAUUCCCAUAUGCUGCUCCUCAAAGCCAUGGGCGUCCUUUAUUUUUAUGUCAUAAAUUCCAGUUCCUCAAACAUAAAACAAAUUAGAUCCAAACCUUCAUGCGACCUAGAAACUGACUUCUUUCCAUGUAUGGUUUCCUCUAAGCUCUGUGUAACAUCAGUACUAUAAAUAAACAAAACACUAGACAUUUGCCUUGUAACUCCAUAUUCGUCUAUGAUCUGAGUGUGUGUGAUAAAACUUCAAAAGGGAAAAUGGGGCUCUCCUGCCUGAGCCAGAAUCAAACAGUUAAACAGUAACCAAGGAGCCGAGGACCACUCGCUUCUCCAAUGCUGAAAUGGAAUAAAAAAUAUUUCCAUCUAAAACUGUCUUUCUUCUAAAUUUAUAGAUCAUAGACUCUUUGUGGUUUUUAUCACUGUCUCUUCUGUUGUUUUGUUUUGGUUUGUCCCUUGGUUUACUUUUUGAGAGAGAGUUUCUGUAUGUUUUUGAGCUUAGUCUUAACAAUCUACCCUCUUGCUUUAGCCUUUCAAAUAGCUAAGACUAUAGUUGUGUGUCAUCAUCAUUUUAUUAAAGUAGUAUUUGAAAGUUAUAAAUGAAAGAAUUAUUAUUCUGAGAUAUUAAAAUAGUUAUUAAUAUCAUAAUCAAGCAUAACAAUUAAAAAUAACUGAGAUUCCAAUUUUAAUAGGCAAUGCAGAGGCAUUACUACCAAACAUUGAAGUUAUUUUUUUAAUUCAUGGAUGUACAAAUAGUUAAGGACAGACCCAAAAAAGAUGAAGUCUUCCAUAUAUAAUUAGAAUAUUAACUACAUUAACAAUGUGCUCAUUCCAGAAUGGUUGAUGUGCAUUCUACUAUGAUAUUUAAAGUCAUUGUUUCCAUGAGAAUGGAUUUGUAUUUCAAAAUAAAAAAG